rnacentral:rRNA from 1 species
UACGUAGGGUGCGAGCGUUAAUCGGAAUUACUGGGCGUAAAGCGUGCGCAGGCGGUUUUGUAAGCCAGAUGUGAAAUCCCCGGGCUUAACCUGGGAAUGGCAUUUGGGACUGCAAGGCUUGAGUGCGGCAGAGGAGACUGGAAUUCUCGGUGUAGCGGUGAAAUGCGUAGAUAUCGAGAGGAACACCUGCGGCGAAGGCGGGUAGCUGGGCCGACACUGACGCUGAGGCGCGAAAGCCAGGGGAGCGAACGGG